UUAGCUUUAAUAAAAAAAUUAAAUCUGUUCUUAUCAAUUUAAUAUCUGAUACAUCCUCUAUCUGAGGACUAUAUAGUAAAUGGAUUUUUGGAACAGUGAGAUGGAAUAGGCGCUUGUUCCAUCUACUCCACGCUUUGACCUGAUACUGGUGUACAUCCAGGAAUGAGCACCUCCC
rnacentral:snRNA from 1 species